CAUUUGUAAGUUCAAGUGAGCAAAACAUUUUGCGAUUAAAUUCACGGGAUAUUGUUUCAAUUAAAAUGAAACAGAUAAGCUAUAGUUGUAUUUUCUCGGCAGGAAGCUCUCUCAUAUAUAUAAAUGGCGAAUCGCGCAAACUUUAAGUACACAUCUGAAAACAUGGCCAAGGAACAAGCAAUGUAUUUCCUUCUCUUGCUGACUUCUGCAUUGGUCUUGGCAGUUCAAUGCGCUCCUGCAUCAGGAAACCCGCAAUCAGACGCCGAAGAAAGGGAUCAGCGCCAGUUUUUUUCUGCCAUUGGAAAGAUAAUUGGAGAUAUCAUUGGAUAAAGCAGGAAAUGUGAGAUGAAGAACAAAUCUGAGAUGACCCAACGCUUUGAACAAGUAGAGUAAUAUUGCAUUUUUGUGGAGUCGGCCAGUUAAUAAAUUGUUAUCAAUGUAUUCAUAA